UACGUAGGGUGCAAGCGUUGUCCGGAAUUAUUGGGCGUAAAGGGCUCGUAGGCGGUCCAUCGCGUCGGGAGUGAAAAGCUGGGGCUUAACCCCAGUCCUGCUUCCGAUACGGGUGGACUAGAGGUAGGUAGGGGAGAACGGAAUUCCUGGUGUAGCGGUGAAAUGCGCAGAUAUCAGGAGGAACACCGGUGGCGAAGGCGGUUCUCUGGGCCUUACCUGACGCUGAGGCGCGAAGGCGUGGGGAGCGAACGGG
rnacentral:rRNA from 1 species